rnacentral:misc_RNA from 1 species
UACAGAGGGUGCAAGCGUUGUUCGGAAUUACUGGGCGUAAAGCGCGCGUAGGCGGCUCUUUAAGUCUUUCUGUGAAAUUCCGGGGCUCAACUCCGGGGCUGCAGGGGAUACUGGGGAGCUGGAGACCGGUAGAGGCCGGUGGAAUUCCCGGUGUAGCGGUGGAAUGCGUAGAGAUCGGGAAGAACACCAGUGGCGAAGGCGGCCGGCUGGGCCGGUUCUGACGCUGAGGCGCGAAAGCGUGGGGAGCGAACAGG